GAUGUGACGGUGCGCCACCUGCGCUGUGCGUACCGCUUCGACGGCGACU
rnacentral:ribozyme from 1 species